rnacentral:lncRNA from 1 species
UUUUUUGGUUUUCUUUUUCCUGUGCUUUAAGCACUAAAACUGAGUAAAGCCCUUUAAAAUUCCUCUGUCCUACAAAAGUAGGAAUGUCCUUCAUCAGGAACUUGUGUGUGUCAAGUGGAACCAAGGUGAAGUUUCGGAGGACCAUGCCCUGAAAAUGGAGAGCCACCUGCAUACCUCAGAGGUUUACAGUAGCCUUUGACAUACCCUGUACAAAUAACAACGUAAAGGCAGAAGACUACAUCGUGCCACAAUCCGGAUGCCAGACACUGUAUUUGAAGGGUUUAGAGCCCUUGUUCCUUUAAUGAAACACAUGUAUGAUAGUGGUUUAAAGACAAACACUGCAUUGACUCAUUUUGUACACCUUGUGCAUGAAAAGUAUUCCAGUUAAGUGUAUUGUCAAAAACAUAGAUGUAGGAAAUAAUUCAUGUGUAAAGAUGUGCAUUAGUAACUUCAACUUAGGGUUGUGAGGAGCUGUUUUAGCAUGAACACUACCAAAAAAAGAGGUGCCUGUUUCCAUAGAAAUGGGUGUACUGGAGCACCAGCAGAGGAAUGCGAAGGUGUUCUUCAGUCCGAGACUCUUCGUUUCAGUGAAGUGAUGCUGAGCUUGGCCCUGGAUCCAAACACUGAGGUGUUCUCCUCACUCUACAGUGGAAAAGCAGGAAGCGGUAGGAUCUACAGGACUCAAAGCGUGACUGGGAGAAUCUUGCACUAUGACUCCCACACUCUGGAAAUGGCUUAUUCCCACAUGGAUGUUACCUGUUUCCUGUAGAUGUUAGGUAGGUUUCUGAUUCUGUAAGCUGCUGAAGGUGAACUAGGUUGGGGUGCCUGUUCAUCCUCCUUUGCAGUUGUCUCUUCACCUUCCUUCUCACUACUGAACCUUGCUUCUCCAUCAUGUGCCUGGAAAUGACGCAAGACAAGAAGUUUGGGUGGUUCUGCUUCCUUGAGGAGCAGUGGCAGGCGGGGGGCGGAGGGCACCUCUCCUGUGAGGAAAGGCUGAGAGCAUUGGGGGUGUUGUAUGAUGCAAGAGGUCUGAAAUGGGCUAUGAAGGAUUUGAAUUUGCAUGUCUGCUCCUGCUACUGAUACUGAGCCUGUCUUCUGGGUGACAAGAGCCUUGGCAUAGGAAUAGCUUAAAACAGCCUUCCACAGCAGCAAGGACAUCACUGUCUGUCCCAAAGUUAAACCACAUCACAGGAAAAUGUCCAAAUUGUCUGCAUCUGGCUUCUUUUAGUAACAAGCUUCAUUAUAGGAGUGUCUGUCUCAUGUACAGCAGUUUAUGCAACAUUGUUUAUAAAGGAAGGGCCUGUGCACUUCAGGGAUACUAUGAAGAAAAAUACUAAUAUAUGGUCAUUGAGUAUUUUGUAUUGAAUAGUGUAUUUGUAUUGUAAACAAGUGUAGUGAACCACAAGGCAUGAAGACAAAUAAAAUGACUGUAGCUGGC